UCCGGCCUGUAGUACAGACCUAUGUAACAACUUGUUUUUGAAAACUUCGCUACACAGCUUCGCUUGUAAGUCAUGUCCUGAAGAUUCACGCACGUUUGGCCACAUAAGUAACAGUCAGGCUAAAAGCGCAUUUUGCGUUAUUACAUUUAUCAAAAUUUUUAGGAGUCUCUCAUGGCUAAAGUAACUGGUGUAGUUAAGUGGUUCAACGCUGACAAAGGUUUCGGUUUUAUCACUCAAGACAACGGCGGCGCUGACGCUUUCGUUCACUUCCGUGCUAUCCAAACUGAUGGUUACAAAACCCUGAACGAAGGCCAAAAAGUGGCUUUCGAAAUCGAACAAGGCCAAAAAGGCCCACAAGCUGCUAACGUAACUGUUAUCGGCUAAUUCGAUACCGAAUUGCAAGAAGCCAGCCUAGUGCUGGCUUUUUUUA
rnacentral:sRNA from 1 species